rnacentral:rRNA from 1 species
UACGUAGAGUGCAAACGUUGUUCGGAAUUACUGGGCGUAAAGGGUGCGUAGGUGGGCAGGUAAGUCAGUGGUGAAAUCUUUGGGCUUAACCCGAAAACUGCCAUUGAUACUAUUUGUCUUGAAUAUUGUGGAGGUCAGCGGAAUAUGUCAUGUAGCGGUGAAAUGCUUAGAUAUGACAUAGAACACCAAUUGCGAAGGCAGCUGGCUACAUAUAUAGUGACACUGAUGCACGAAAGCGUGUGGAUCAAACAGG